GACGUAGGGCGCGAGCGUUGUCCGGAUUUAUUGGGCGUAAAGAGCUCGUAGGCGGCUUGUCGCGUCGAAUGUGAAAUCUCAGGGCUCAACUCUGACAUUGCAUUCGAUACGGGCAGGCUAGAGUUCGGUAGGGGAGACUGGAAUUCCUGGUGUAGCGGUGAAAUGCGCAGAUAUCAGGAGGAACACCGGUGGCGAAGGCGGGUCUCUGGGCCGAUACUGACGCUGAGGAGCGAAAAGCGUGGGGGAGCGAAACAGG
rnacentral:rRNA from 1 species